rnacentral:rRNA from 1 species
UAUGCUUGUCUCAAAAAUUAAGCCAUGCAUGUCUAAGUACAAGCCGUCCCGCACGGUGAAACCGCGAAAGGCUCAUUAAAUCAGUUAUGGUUCCUUAGAUCGUACCCACGUUACAUGGAUAACUGUGGUAAUUCUAGAGCUAAUACAUGCCGAUAGAGUUCCGACCAGCGAGUCGACGUUCGGCGGUUCGCCCGUCGUCGUCGGCCGUUCGGAAGGAGCGCUUUUAUUAGAUCAAAACCGGCCAAACGUCCCGAUCGCGCUUCCCGCGCGUUCGGGCGUGAGUGGCCCGCGCAAAGACUUGAUGACUCUGAAUAACUUUGAGCUGAUCGCACGGUCCUAGUACCGGCGACGUAUCUUUCAAAUGUCUGCCUUAUCAACUGUCGACGGUAGGUUCUACGCCUACCGUGGUGGUAACGGGUAACGGGGAAUCAGGGUUCGAUUCCGGAGAGGGAGCCUGAGAAACGGCUACCACAUCCAAGGAAGGCAGCAGGCGUGAAAAUUAUCCACUGACGGCUCGUCGAGAUAGUGACGAAAAAUAACGAUACGGGACUCAUCCGAGGCCCCGUA